rnacentral:rRNA from 1 species
AUUGAACGCUGGCGGCAGGCCUAACACAUGCAAGUCGAGCGGAUGAAGGGAGCUUGCUCCUGGAUUCAGCGGCGGACGGGUGAGUAAUGCCUAGGAAUCUGCCUGGUAGUGGGGGAUAACGUCCGGAAACGGGCGCUAAUACCGCAUACGUCCUGAGGGAGGAAGUGGGGGAUCUUCGGACCUCACGCUAUCAGAUGAGCCUAGGUCGGAUUAGCUAGUUGGUGGGGUAAAGGCCUACCAAGGCGACGAUCUGUAACUGGUCUGAGAGGAUGAUCAGUCACACUGGAACUGAGACACGGUCCAGACUCCUACGGGAGGCAGCAGUGGGGAAUAUUGGACAAUGGGCGAAAGCCUGAUCCAGCCAUGCCGCGUGUGUGAAGAAGGUCUUCGGAUUGUAAAGCACUUUAAGUUGGGAGGAAGGGCAGUAAGUUAAUACCCUGCUGUUUUGACGUUACCAACAGAAUAAGCACCGGCUAACUUCGUG